AAAGUGUCCUACAUGCCUUGAAAGCCUCAAGCAACUAAUGAAUAGAAGUGCUGGAAAAAAUAAGGCAGUUUUCAUUUCUACCUCUACAAAGUAUAAAUUUAAAUCCAUUGGGUUCUUUAGCCAACAGUCUUAAAGUGAAGAAUGCAUACAGCCUUGGCUAUUCCAAGAAACUGUCUUUAAAACUAAAUAAAUAUUAACUCAAUCCUACUAGUUCAGGAAGAAAGGAAUACAAUUGAAAUUUAAAAAGCAAAAGAGACAUAGCUAAAUGGUAGAUGUUCUACAACCAACUUGUUUUGUCGGUUUUCUCUUGCUGUGUGGGUUUGGGGGAUCAUCUGAGGCUCUGCAGCAGUCUUUUUUAAAAAAUGUAUUUACCUCAGCACUCGGGAGGCAGAGGCAGGCAGAUUUCUGAGUUCAAGGCCAACCUGGUCUACAGAGUGAGUUCCAAGACAGCCAGGGCUACACAGAGAAACCCUGUCUCGGAAAAAAAAAUGUAUUUACAUUCCAAAUGCUGCUUCCUGGUUCCCCCUCCCCCUUCCUUUCCCCAGGACCCCUCCUUUCACCUCUGAGAGGGUGUCCCCUCCCCUCCAUUGCCCAACCUUGGUAUCAUAAGGCACAUCCUCUCCCACUGAGGCCAGACAAGCCUUCCCAGAAAGCCAUCUUUCUCUAGGGUCCCACAGCUAGUAGCUGUUCUGAAUAUAACUUGAGAGUUCCUGUCACUGACAGUAAAAGUUCCAUGUAGCAGACUGCGACCACCAAGCAAUGUAGACGUAUUAAGAGAAUGAGGGGGCUGAGGGAAUGGGUGAGAAGAUUUGCUGCUUUUACAGAGGAGCAAAUUUCACUUCCCAUCACCCAAGGUGGUUGCUCACAGCUGUCUAUAACUUGUCUCCUAGGGGAUCUGACAUGAGUGGACUCCACCAGCACCUGCAUGCCUACACACACAAGGACACACACACGCCCUUCAGAAAGGACGAAGGCAGACAGUGGCAUUUCAUCGAGUCCAAAGGGAGCUGACGAUGCAUCAUUAUAUUUAUGAUGGGCCGAAGCCGCGUCACCACACCCAGGUGAGUAAUCUCUGAAGUCCUGGCUUAGGUAAGUCCUUGGUUCCUAGAACCCUAGAGGAAGUACACAGCACACACUGUUCUAAGGAUUUAGAACAUU
rnacentral:lncRNA from 1 species